rnacentral:rRNA from 1 species
GUAGGUGGCAAGCGUCGUCCGGAAUUAUUGGGCGUAAAGCGCGCGCAGGCGGUUCUUUAAGUCUGAUGUGAAAGCCCACGGGCUCAACCGUGGAGGGUCAUUGGAAACUGGAGAACUUGAGUACUGAAGAGGAAAGCGGAAUUCCACGUGUAGCGGUGAAAUGCGUAGAGAUGUGGAGGAACACCAGUGGCGAAGGCGGCUUUCUGGUCUGUAACUGACGCUGAGGCGCGAAAGCGUGGGGAGCAAACAGGAUUAGAUACCCUGGUAGUCCACGCCGUAAACGAUGAGUGCUAAGUGUUAGGGGGUUUCCGCCCCUUAGUGCUGCAGCUAACGCAUUAAGCACUCCGCCUGGGGAGUACGGCCGCAAGGCUG